rnacentral:rRNA from 1 species
UACAGAGGGUGCGAGCGUUGUCCGGAAUCACUGGGCGUAAAGGGCGCGUAGGUGGCGGCCCCAAGUCCAUGGUGAAAGCUCGAUGCUCAACAUCGAGUCGGCCACGGAUACUGGGUUGCUCGAGCAGCUGUAGGGCAGAUGGAAUUCCGGGUGUAGCGGUGGAAUGCGUAGAGAUCCGGAAGAACACCGGUGGCGAAGGCGGUCU